rnacentral:misc_RNA from 1 species
GAUGAAGAACGUAGCGAAAUGCGAUAAGUAAUGUGAAUUGCAGAAUCCAGUGAAUCAUCGAAUCUUUGAACGCACAUUGCGCCCGCCAGCAUUCUGGCGGGCAUGCCUGUUCGAGCGUCAUUUCAACCCUCGACCUCCCUUUGGGGAAGUCGGCGUUGGGGACCGGCAGCACACCGCCGGCCCUGAAAUGGAGUGGCGGCCCGUCCGCGGCGACCUCUGCGUAGUAAUCCAACUCGCACCGGAACCCCGACGCGGCCACGCCGUAAAACACCCAACUUCUGAACGUUGACCUCGAAUCAGGUAGGACUACCCGCUGAACUUAAGCAUAUCAAUAGCGGAGGA